rnacentral:tRNA from 1 species
GGAGAGGUGGCAGAGCGGUUGAAUGCGGCGGUCUUGAAAACCGUUAAGGCGCAAGCUUUCUAGGGUUCGAAUCCCUACCUCUCCG